ACUGAAUGAAUGGAUCUGCAGUCAGUGCUAUGACUUGGUAAGUGUGUCCAUCAGGAGACCAGACCCUGUGAGGACCUGAGACCCGGCGGGAAAGACCACACGUCCCCAAGGUUACAUCAAAAGCUUUGCUUCAGUGCCUACCUGGAGUAAUUAUAAUGUUUUUAGAAGAAGGAAAGACAAACUGUUGGAGGUAUGCUAGGACGGCAACGCAUGGCUGAAGACCCAGGUUCAGCUCCGCUCUGCCAGUCACUUGCCGAGAUUCUCCAGGAACGCUUGACCUCUGCCUGCUUCCUUCUCGUAAAAUGAGGCU